UACGUAGGGUGCGAGCGUUGUCCGGAAUUACUGGGCGUAAAGAGCUCGUAGGUGGUUUGUCGCGUUGUUCGUGAAAACUCACAGCUCAACUGUGGGCGUGCGGGCGAUACGGGCAGACGUGGAGUACUGCAGGGGAGACUGGAAUUCCUGGUGUAGCGGUGGAAUGCGCAGAUAUCAGGAGGAACACCGGUGGCGAAGGCGGGUCUCUGGGCCGGAACUGACGCUAAGGAGCGAAAGCGUGGGGAGCGAACGAGGAAUU
rnacentral:rRNA from 1 species